CAAACUGGUGAAAAGCUGUGUUGUUCUGCCCCCUACCGGUAGAAACGGAACACAGCCCAUUACCUGAACACACUUGUCUCUGCUGCUGAGAGUCAGAAGGCCGACCGUCCACUAGGGGCAGAAGACGCUGCCAAACUAGUGAAGUGUGCUGCUGGAUAUAAGCCUCAUGCCUGUGUAAUACUGCUAACCUGAAGUGAUCAUGCUGAUCAUCGUGAUGUUUAUGCUCAAGCUCCCUGCGUUACCGCCGCUCUGCAUGUUGGCCGGUUGCGGAGGCUCUGUGGUUUGGUGCAACUCUGUCAGCGGGGUCAACAGGCACUUGUACCCUGUCAUUAUUCGGUGACUGAAAGACAUACAGUGAAAGAAAAGACUGAUUGAAUGAAAAAAACAAAAAAACACUGAGGAAUGAAACGCCCUGGAUAAAUAAAAGGAUCGAGUUUGGAGGAGAGUCAACAUCAACCUGUAGGUGUGAGAGGGGGAGAACAAAGCUUGCCAAAGACCUGUUUGCAUGGAGACUCGCUGGGGCAAGCCGCCGGGUGAGAAUCCAUGCCUGCCUUUCACUCAACAAGACAAGUGACAAGCUCACACCUGUUUAUCCUUUUCUUUUUUGGUCUGCUUUAGUGUGAGGUUAAGACGCAAUGUGUUAAAUAGUUUCAGUUCUAGUCAUUAUCAGUAUCUGCGAUGGCUUUUGAAUGUAGCCCGAUCACUUCAGGGUGGAUGUGAUUGGCUGCAUCUAUGUAAUACACAAGCAUCAAAUUCAGGACCUUAAUCAGCGGUUUGUUAGUGAGUCCACACCCCUUAAGCACACAAAGCAGUUAGAAAAGGUGUUUGAGCCCUCGAGGUACAUUUACGUGAGUGCUGACAGACACA
ensembl:lncRNA